rnacentral:piRNA from 1 species
ACGCUGUCUCUUUGAAGACAAAGGUUGUCCU